AGUGGGGAAUAUUGGACAAUGGGGGCAACCCUGAUCCAGCAAUGCCGCGUGUGUGAAGAAGGCCUUCGGGUUGUAAAGCACUUUUAUCGGGAACGAAACAUUGUCGGCCAAUACCCGGCAAGACUGACGGUACCCGAGGAAUAAGCACCGGCUAACUCCGUGCCAGCAGCCGCGGUAAUACGGAGGGUGCAAGCGUUAAUCGGAAUUACUGGGCGUAAAGCGUGCGCAGGCGGUUUGUUAAGUCUGUUGUGAAAUCCCCGAGCUCAACUUGGGAAUUGCAAUGGAUACUGGCAGGCUGGAGUACGGUAGAGGAAGGUGGAAUUCCCGGUGUAGCAGUGAAAUGCGUAGAGAUCGGGAGGAACACCAGUGGCGAAGGCGGCCUUCUGGACCAGUACUGACGCUCAUGCACGAAAGCGUGGGGAGCAAA
rnacentral:rRNA from 1 species